rnacentral:rRNA from 1 species
UACAGAGGAUGCAAGCGUUAUCCGGAAUUACUGGGCGUAAAGCGCGCGCAGGCGGACGUUUAAGUAGGGCGUGAAAUCUCCCGGCCUAACUGGGAGGGGUCGCUCUAGACUGGGCGUCUUGAGGACUGCAGAGGUGGGUGGAAUUCCUGGUGUAGUGGUGAAAUGCGUAGAGAUCAGGAGGAACACCGGUGGCGAAGGCGGCCCACUGGGCAGUCACUGACGCUGAGGCGCGAAAGCUCGGGGAGCGAACGGG